ACUGCUAUCGGAUUGAUACUAAGCCAUGCGAGUCUUUGUAGCAAUACAAGGCAGACGGCUCAGUAACACGUAGUCAAUCUACCCUAUGGACGGGGAUAACCUCGGGAAACUGAGAAUAAUACCCGAUAGAUCAUUAUGCCUGGAAUGGUUUAUGGUCGAAAUGAUUUAUCGCCGUAGGAUGGGACUGCGGUCUAUCAGCUUGUUGGUGAGGUAAUGGCCCACCCAAGGCUAUAACAGAUACGGGCUCCUGAGAGGAGAAACCCGGAGAUGGGUACUGAGACACGGACCCAGGCCCUAUGGGGCGCAGCAGGCGAGAAAACUUUGCAAUGUGCGAAAGCACGACAAGGUUAAUCCGAGUGUUUUCUGCUAAAGAAAUCUUUUGUCAGUCCUAAAAACACUGAUGAAUAAGGGGUGGGCAAGUUCUGGUGUCAGCCGCCGCGGUAAAACCAGCACCUCAAGUGGUCAGGAGGAUUAUUGGGCCUAAAGCAUCCGUAGCCGGCCGUGUAAGUUUUCGGUUAAAUCUAUACGCUCAACGUAUAGGCUGCCGGGAAUACUGCACAGCUAGGGAGCGGGAGAGGUAGACGGUACUCGGUAGGAAGGGGUAAAAUCCUUUGAUCUAUUGAUGACCACCUGUGGCGAAGGCGGUCUACUAGAACACGUCCGACGGUGAGGGAUGAAAGCUGGGGGAGCAAACCGGAUUAGAUACCCGGGUAGUCCCAGCUGUAAACAAUGCAAACUCAGUGAUGCACUGGCUUGUGGCCAGUGCAGUGCCGCAGGGAAGCCGUUAAGUUUGCCGCCUGGGAAGUACGUACGCAAGUAUGAAACUUAAAGGAAUUGGCGGGGGAGCACCACAAGGGGUGAAG
rnacentral:rRNA from 1 species